GUUGACGGAGACCCUAGUGGUAGCGCGACCUCUGUGGGAGCUGGCAGCCUCUCCCAGAGGGCAGAGUUUCGCGCUGUGCUUACACAAUUGGUUGUAAAUUCUGCUGAGCUCUAUGGGUCCAUCUGGAUGAAAAGGUCUGUGUAAACGCAAGAUCAUUAUCAUUAUCAGCUGUCCCAGUUGGAGCCCAGUGAUUCGCAAGCCCACAAUCAAUGGGGUCUUCCCAACAAUUCCAUUCUACAUGGCUGGAGAAAAGGUGCAAUUACAUGGAGCUGCACAUCCUCUGGAGAGAGCGCCCUUUGUGUCUGUUCCCAGAGUGAUGGAGACAGGAAUCUCCCAGGCCCCUCAUCAGCCACAUGGAGAGAGGAUCAAGAACAACCUGGAUCCGGGAGAUCUUUUCUCUCUGAAGUUGACUGCCCACUGCACACAGAAACUAAGGGAGGCUCCCCACCUGGGCAGCUCUGAGCUGGAGACCAUGAAGCCCCACUUCAUUCUUUCCGCACGAAUCUCUGGCACUUGUGCUGGUGACCUUGGGAGAAGACUGUAUAUGAGUUAACUCUCUGAUCUCAAGGAAAAGAUGAGACAUACGGGCACAGAUAUCAGCACCAAGCUCAUCUCAUUUCGGUCAAUUUCCAAGUUGACCUACAGACCUGUGAGAACUAAAAACAAAAUUGUGAUUUAUUAUGUAGCAAUAGUUAACUGAUACACAGGACUUAAGUUGAUCACAGUUACUCACCUACUAAGUUGUACAGUCAUAUUUAAAAAAU
rnacentral:lncRNA from 1 species